AAAACUUUCAACAACGGAUCUCUUGGUUCCAGCAUCGAUGAAGAACGCAGCGAAAUGCGAUAACUAAUGUGAAUUGCAGAAUUCAGUGAAUCAUCGAGUCUUUGAACGCACAUUGCGCCCCUCGGUAUUCCGGGUGGCAUGCCUGUUCGAGCGUCAUUAU
rnacentral:rRNA from 1 species